GUAUUUGUUAUGUUCUUGAAACCCAGAGAAUUUGGCGGUAUUUUACUCCAUUUAGAGGAACCUGUCCUGUAAUUGAUAAUCCACGAUGAUAAAAUACUUGUUUUUGUUAUCAGUUUGUAUACCUCCGUCAUAAGAGUAUCUUUUUAGAGAUAAAUAUUCUAUUAAUAUUAAAUAUAAUAUGUCAGGUCAAGGUGCAAUUUAUAGACAAGUAGAGAUGGGUUACAAUAAAUUUAUUUAUACGAAUAUAAAUUUUUAUUAUUUAUUGAAGGUGGAUUUAAAAGUAAAAUUAAAAUCUUAUUAUUUUGAUUAUGGCUCUAAAAUAUGCACACAUCGCCCG
rnacentral:rRNA from 1 species